UUUUAACUUAAGUAUUUAUCUUUUACAUUACAUUAUAAUUUUUUGUAAAACAAUACAUUGUAAUCAUAAUAAGAAUUACGUUAUCAAACAAUUAUGUGUCACCUUUAUAUAAAUGAAAUAAUGUUAUUAAUGUGUGUAGUGUCACCAAACAAGUUAUAUAAAUAUGCUAUAAAAACAACUAAUUAUGAUUGUUUGUAACAUUGAAUUUGUCAGACUGCUAAGUUUCGAGGAGAAUUACACGGCUUAUUAUAAAAGCAAUAUAGCUUAAGUUGAAUAUGAAAAUUAGCAUGAAACUUAUAUUGCUAAUUUGAAUAAACUCUGGUUGUGUACAUGGACUAAAUUAUAAAACAGCGACGGAUUUAUAUUACUUGUGUUAUAUUUAUUGAUAUUUUUAUUUCGCAUCAGUGGCCAUUUUGUCAGAAACGAACACCUGUUGGAUCAAAUUAAACGACAAAAUCACCAUGGAGACCCAAUGUUCUGAUGACGAAUACAACAAAAGUGUGAUACUCGUAAUAUCAUCUCUAUCAACUGGAAGUGUAAUGUACAUAGCCAUCAUUUUAUUUUGGAUGUCACGAAUUUCAAAGCCAAAUACAAGUGUCAUAUCUGCCAACAAUCAGUGGUGUUUACAGGUUACCAGAAACAAAAGCCAAGGUCCUAGUAUCCAGCAAAGGAUUUGGAGAAAGCAAUCAUUUUUAAAUGAAACCUCCCAAGUCCAACCUGUUCGUUUACCAAGACCUGUUGUUUCAGGAAAAGACUGGAAUAAUCGUCAUGGAAACACGUCACGUGAUCAUGAAAACUAUGGUUUAGAUUUUUCCUGUUACUAAUUAAGAUGAAAAAAAAGAGAAAAAAGAAAGAAUGUGAUUUACGAAAUAACAAAAGCAGUAUUUUGACAGAGCUAGAAAACAGAUGUGUUGAUGUAUACCACAGAGGGUUUUAUAUAUCAAAUUAAAAUACCUGACGACAUUUUAAAUCUUGGAAAUUUAAAUCUCAAAAGCAAACUUGUGGAUGCGUUAAAUGACGGUAGCACAUCAUGACAUAUUUCAAGGAUGCGACUUUUCAAUUCAAUAUGAUCAUUAAUUUUACAUUUGUAUAAUUUGGAACGAAACUUAUACUUAAACAAUUCACAAUAGGAAUUGUUAAAAUCAACUACUAGACAUGAUUAGAAAAUGUCCUUUUUAUUACUUAUAAUAUUUAUGACAUGAAAAUAAAAAUUGUGUCUAAAUAUAUCUGAUCAGAAUAUUAUGUACAUGUCUGUGAGCCUGAAUAUACACU